rnacentral:lncRNA from 1 species
AUGCACAGCAAGGAAAUGUGCUGUCAUCGUGGGGUCUCAGAGCUGCUGGACCCACUGGUCUUUGCCGUGCACCAGAAACCACCAUCAUGCUCCAGUUUGCUCCCUGUAAGCUUGCCUAAACUCCGACGCUGUCAGCAGUUUACUGUGUCAGUCACCAGGAGACAUCCAGGACACCAAAACAGUCACGGCGUUGUGAAACCACUUGGCAUACAGGGCUUGCUGGCUGCCGGCACGCAGCUCCUGCACAUCACGGGAAGCGGGGACAACGCGUGUGAAGGCAGAAAGGACGGCGCUGCCGGCACCGGCAAUGCCCCAUGCUACGCCUGCGGAGAGCCUAGCAAAGAAGUACAAGCCAUGGUGAAAUCUGCUGUCAGGGCCCAACAGAGAGGCCCAAAAAAAUGCAGUCGAGCUAAACUGGUUGUGAAGAAACCCAAGUGCAGCAGAACCGGCCGCCAGUGCACUUUACAGGACUUGUGUCUACAUCUAAAGACAGAAAACGAUGAUUGGAAAACUAAUCACCUAGCCUUUACCGGGUUCUUCAGUCAGCUGGUUCUCCCCUUUGCUACUCUCCUGCUGCCCAAGGAGAGAUUUGUACAGUCAGGGCAUGAACGCUGCAAGUGAAAUACCGUGGGUGAGAAUGGAAAGCGUGUGGGGGGUCUGCUGAGAGGACAGCAAGGGUUGGUGGCACCAGGGAAGGUGGCCCGCCUAGGUCUGAGGCCAUCCAGCUCGUGGUCCUGCUUUGUUAGCAGUAGGCAUCUGCUCUAGGUCCCUUCCCUGCUCUUUGGCUUCUCAAAGUGGGUUACAAAGCCGAUUCCUUGUGCCAUGGACAGGGCUGGCACCCUGGGAUGUCACCGCUGUGAUAGGCUGCUUUGGACUGAAAUUUGGGACCAUUGUUCUGGGACUGCUGGUGUUUCGCACGCCCAUCACCAUGAUAUCUUCCAUGGCUCUGAGUGGCCUUUGCAGAGCUCCCCUACUACUGAGCCACCAGAAACGCGACCUGGGCAGCAAUUAAGGAGAGCUUGUGAAAGGCAUCUGCCCUCUAAUUCUUUGUUUCGCUUCUCAGCAUCCUUUUGGGGAAUAAAGUGAAACGUGGGUGCUAAAUAACGAUCGCU